rnacentral:tRNA from 1 species
AUUUAAGUAGCUUAUAUUUAGAGCAUAGUAUUGAAGAUACUCAGGAAAUAGUUAUAUUCUUAAAUA